UCUUGGUGGCUCAGACGGUAAAGCGUCUGUCUUCAAUGCAGGAGACCCGGGUUUGAUCCCUGGGUCGGGAA
rnacentral:tRNA from 1 species